AUUGAACGCUGGCGGCAGGCCUAACACAUGCAAGUCGAGCGAGCGGCGGACGGGUGAGUAAUGUAUGGGGACUGCCCGAUAGAGGGGGAUAACUACUGGAAACGGUAGCUAAUACCGCAUACUAUCGGAUAACCCAUAUGGGAUUAGCUAGUAGGUGAGGUAAUGGCUCACCUAGGCGACGAUCCCUAGAUGGUCUGAGAGGAUUAGCAGCCACACUCGGACUGAGACACGGCCCAGACACUUCCGGGGGCAUCAGUGGGGAAUAUUGCAGAAUGUACGCAAGCCUUAUCCAGCCAUCCCGCAUGUAUGAAGAAGGCCCUAGGGAUGUAAAGUACUUUCAGGCGGGAGGCGUUACCGACAGAAGAAGCACCGGCUAACUCCGUGCCGGCCGCCGCGGUAAUUC
rnacentral:rRNA from 1 species